GAAACAAUAGGGAUUUUGUCUUGUAUGUCGGCCAGGUUCCCGUGGGGCCUUGUUUCAGUUCCAAAAUAGGAGACAUGGCCACCAUUAACUACAUUCCUUAUCAGACAUGCAGACACACUGCCUUGCUCACAGUCACCGAGAAUUUCAUUCACAAACACAUUGCAAGAUUCUCUUCACUGAAACUAAGAGGCCCAAACCUGUUCCAGCAUGACAAUGCUCCUGAGCACAAAGCGAGAUCUAUGAAGACAUGGUUCUACCCAGAUCCCUCUCCUCAACCCCACCUUUGAAUGGAACUUAUUAUAUUGAACAAGCUUACUGUAUAUGGCUGUAGUGAUCAGAUGUCCACAUAUAUUUGGACAUAUAUUGUGUAAAUUAAUAUGUUACAUUAACAUUUCUUAACUGUGGUAAGGAAUUUAGAGACCUCUACUAGGAUCUAAUAGGCUGAGCGCACACUGUAAUUUAAUGAAAGCCGCUUAUAUAUUUUAGUUGCUACACUUUGCUCCUAUAUGACAUUUUGUGAAAUGUUCUUUUAAUUUCUUAAAAUUAUAGUUUAUUACUGCUUAUUGGUGAAAUUUUAAGGGUAAUUUAAAAUCUAAAGUACUUUGAAAUUCCUUUUUCUUGCUUUUUUCUUUAUUUGGAUCUAUUUUUUAUUUCUGUUAAUCUUUUUGUUAUAUCAGCAUAUAAGAUGCUAUAUACUUUUUCCUUUAUACACCAUAAUGCCUCAAACAGUACACAUUCAAAAUAAUCAUACUGUACAUACAAAUACCCAGAAUUGUUCUCCUGAAUGGAAGAUUUGUUGUCCCUACUGUUGUCCCAUGCCAGCCUUAUUUGUAAAUGAUCUAGGCUAACAACUUUUUCUUUUUAUUUUACUUUACUUUUAACUUACCAGCUGCAUGUAUGCAAAGCAACUACAUGUCUUUCCGUCCCCUAUACACACAGCCCCCUAUACUCCCGUCCACAAAACAUGAAACAGUUCUCUGUAAUCAUGCCAUGUGUUCAUGAUAAGCUGUAAACAAGCCUUUCCUAGUUCACAUAUGACUUUGACUCUCUCCUUUUGUCCAGUGACUAAGCAAUUUUACAACAUUGGAAGCACUGCCUGCGAUAUGGGUAUGGAAGAGCAAAUACAAGGCAAACAAAUCCUCUGAAAAAUGUUUUGACACUCUGAUGUAUAGUCAUUUUCCUCUAACAGGUUGUGCUUUAACAAUAUAUAUAACAUUCUAUGUUCACAUACAAACACAUUGCUGUACCAUAUUCAGAUCCAAUCACUGUAUUUAGAUAGUACCUUUCUAAUGUUUAAUUAUUUACUUUUCUAAUGCACAUUUUUACCUAAUUUGCCCUAUUUAUACUUUGUUCUAUCUAAUUUGUAUCUUUUUUUAAUCAUUUGGUUAAUUGGCUAUUUUUAUAUCAAGGACAACCAUCAUUUCACUAUAUGUACUGCCUAUGAUUGUGUAUAUGAUGUAAAUUUUGAUUUUUAAUUUGAUUUUGUGUGUGAGUUGUUCAUCUUCAUAA